rnacentral:rRNA from 1 species
GUCUAUGGCCAUGCCACCCUGAACAAGCCCGAUGUCUCGGAAGCUAAGCAGGGUCAGGCCUGGUUAGUACCUGAAUGGGAGACCCCCUAGGAAGACCAGUCGCUGUAGGCA